GGGUCAGGCAUAUUUUACACCGCCUUUUAGACGACCAUCACAUCAUAUUGAAGGCGAUCAAUAUUGAUCGUGUUGGACUAAGAGUCUCAUCCUACUCUCCAAUGUGCUAUGUGUGAGCUCAGUCCUGCGUGUUCUUUAAUGAAGCAAUAGGAGAAGAUAUUCAGUCUCAGUUAAUGUAGUUUAUUAAGCAGUAAAGGAAUAAAAUUACAGAGCUCUGGGUCUCAACUUCACGUCCCUGACGAACAACAAAGGUGUGUCAGUUCACGAAGUCUGACCUCCUGUCCUUCCCCUGACCCAGUAUAUUUGAGCGUAACAGAGUGUCAUUGUGCACGCAAGGCGUUGUCCUCUUCUCAUUGGCAGUUCCACUUCCUCCUUCACCACACCAUGCCCCUGCCUCGUGUUAAUCUGACUCCUUCCCGCUGGCGGUGGGGGCGUGGUUCCUGUUUUGAAAGACAAGAGAACAACACAACUCCCUACACGUGCUGUACCUUACUAUCUGUUCAUCACUUUCUAUUCUUUUUACCAUAUAUGAAACUAAUUAUCUAAGCAUUGCGGUAUGUGCUCCUCAGACUUCAUGUCUCUUCCUCUCCUGUACUUCUCCACUUCUGCAAAGCAAACACAUUCAGAUCAGCUGAAAUCAUCUCAGUAUUCUCAUUGUUCACACAUCUAAAACUUAUAUAGUGAAACACAACUUAUAGUGAAACACAUAAAAUCAUUCUAUUCCCAACAAUCGCCUUCAAUAUGAUGUGAUGGUCACGUAGCCUGUCCAUUAUGAUUAAAUGUCACUGUCUAACAUCAUCAAUCCAGCUAUUCAUGAUGCUGUCAUUGUAGAGUAAGUUCACAAUGACAGCAUAAUGAAUAGAUGACUGACACAUGUCACGGCAGCAGUGGCGCCACUGCAAGAUGGCGGCAUACACAAAUCGCUCGGCGAAUUCAUCUAUAGACCUGGAGAUCAUGGGACCCUAGAAACAUAGGAUCUUGGGAAGAUAGGUCCCUGGGAGAACUAGAACUGGGGAACAAAAGACCAUUUGUCUUGUUCUCUUCAUGUGCCAUACAGACCUGGAGAUCAUGGGACCCUGGAAACAUAGGAAUGACCCUGGCGGAUCAACUUUGCUAUCAAAUCAAAAGCUGUUAAUUUUGGCUUUCACUGUUGUGGCUGUUUAGUUUCUUAAUUAAAUAUGAAACAGGCUAAUGUUAUGUUAGCUGGCUAUAAUGUUAAUAGUUUCUUUAAGAGCCAGUGAUAGAGGACAAGCAAAACAAAUUACUGGUAGGUUUUGCAGAUAUGACAAAUAAAAUUAACCCCAUCACUUUUCUUAAUUUGUUUAUCAGUUAAUGACUGACUUCUGCCAGUUCUUUCAUAAGCUACAGAGAGGGUCGAUACAUUUUCAACAUUAUUCAUGACAUCAAACUGCAAAUUAUUUUGACUUGUUUUUAACCAUUAGUUAAACAAUUUGCGACUAUCGCAAUUUGACUUCUAAAAGUAACUGUAGCAAGCAAAUAUAAUGUUAGCCUGUUGCAUAAUUAACGUAUUUCAUCAGAUAAUCAAAAUUUCCAGGCUAACCAUAAGCAAAAGGCUAACGCUAGGUUAACAGCAGAUAUCUGCAAUAACAACUGAAUCAGGCGAACAUAAAAUUAAAAUAAAUUAGUGGGACCUGUGCUCACAGUCCAGCACUGUGCAGCUCGAUUGGCAUUCACCAGAGAACACCAGAAUUGGCAGAUCUGCCAUUGGUGCCCCGUUGUCUUUACAGAUGAGAGCAGGUUCACAAUGAAUGAAUACGAGGGGAGCAGCCAUAGGAUUUAAAUUUGACCUGUGUUCUGUGAUAAACUGUGGAGAUGAAACCCUCCAUUUAUCCCUGCCAUCUACCUGGACCGGCACGUGCGCACUGGUCCAACUGGUAGUGCCUCUGAUCCUCUUAGGGCUGAGGGACUCCCAGGCCAGUUCUAGCAGAAAGAAAAGAGACACGUUUGACAUUGGCUCUGACUCCACCACGUAUAUAGACGCCAUAGGCGUUCCUUGUGGGGCUCCAGAUCAGUAUAAACUGCAGGUUUUGAAAAAAUACCCAUACUAGCUGCACUGUUUCCCAUCACCCCUAACAAGAAUGUUGACAUAAUUAAUUAUGUUCAUUACAAUGUUCUCAGAUUGGCUAACAGUACCAGAGAUGCAGUUGGGGGACUCUCGGAGCAGUUGGCGGCCACCUCCCUAAUGACAAUCCAGAACCCAAUUGCCUUAGAUAUGCUUUUGGCGGAGAAAGGGGGUGUCUGCUUUAUGUUCCAGGGUCUCUGCUGCACUUUCAUCCCAAAUAACACAGCUCCAGAUGGGUCAGUCACUAAAGCACUGGAAGGGCUACGUAUACUGUCUGAAGAGAUGCGUGAGCAUUCAGAUAUUGAUAACCCCAUAGGCGGAGUGUUUAUACAAUCGUUUGGUAAGUGGAAGAAUCUAUUGGUAUCGUAUUUUUGUCUCUGGUGGGAAUGCUCGGGGUGUUAACAUUGUGUGGCUGUUGUUGCAUCCCAUACAUCAGGUCUCUCUGUUAAAUGAUCAUAGUGUCAGCAGUGGAGAGAAAACAUCCACAACCCCCACCGUAUCAGAUGACUCAAAUGGAGACGGCCACCCUAUUGGGGGAACCGCCGACAGAUUCAGAUUCAGAAGAAGACAAAGUAUGAGUGGUCUCGUGUAUGAGACCAAAAGGUGGAGUUAUAACUUUUUGUUUCAAAAGAAACAAAAAGUGCAGUAAUCACAAGACCUAAAAAGGGGGACCUGGAUACAUCGGGACUAAAAAAAAAAAAGUGACCUCAGUCCUAUGAGGCCAAAAGGGGGACUGUUGGGAAUAGAAUGAUUUUAUGUGUUUUACUAUAAGUUGUGUUUCACUAUAUAAGUUUUAGAUAUGUGAACAAUGAGAAUACUGAGAUGAUUUCAGCUGAUCUGAAUGUGUUUGCUUUGCAGAAGUGGAGAAGUACAGGAGAGGAAGAGACAUGAAGUCUGAGGAGCACAUACCACAAUGCUUAGAUAAUUAGUUUCAUAUAUGGUAAAAAGAAUAGAAAGUGAUGAACAGAUAGUAAGGUACAGCACGUGUAGGGAGUUGUGUUGUUCUCUUGUCUUUCAAAACAGGAACCACGCCCCCACCGCCAGCGGGAAGGAGUCAGAUUAACACGAGGCAGGGGCGUGGUGAAGGAGGAAGUGGAACUGCCAAUGAGAAGAGGACAACGCCUUGCGUGCACAAUGACACUCUGUUACGCUCAAAUAUACUGGGUCAGGGGAAGGACAGGAGGUCAGACUUCGUGAACUGACACACCUUUGUUGUUCGUCAGGGACGUGAAGUUGAGACCCAGAGCUCUGUAAUUUUAUUCCUUUACUGCUUAAUAAACUACAUUAACUGAGACUGAA